rnacentral:rRNA from 1 species
AUUGAACGCUGGCGGCAGGCUUAACACAUGCAAGUCGAGCGGGGUGAUGGUGCUUGCACUAUCACUUAGCGGCGGACGGGUGAGUAAUGCUUAGGAAUCUGCCUAUUAGUGGGGGACAACAUCUCGAAAGGGAUGCUAAUACCGCAUACGUCCUACGGGAGAAAGCAGGGGAUCACUUGUGACCUUGCGCUAAUAGAUGAGCCUAAGUCGGAUUAGCUAGUUGGUGGGGUAAAGGCCUACCAAGGCGACGAUCUGUAGCGGGUCUGAGAGGAUGAUCCGCCACAUUGGGACUGAGACACGGCCCAGACUCCUACGGGAGGCAGCAGUGGGGAAUAUUGGACAAUGGGGGGAACCCUGAUCCAGCCAUGCCGCGUGUGUGGAGAAGGCCUUAUGGUUGUAAAGCACUUUAAGCGAGGAGGAGGCUCUUUUGGUUAAUACCCAAGAUGAGUGGACGUUACUCGCAGAAUAAGCACCGGCUAACUCUGUGCCAGCCGCCGCUGUAA